rnacentral:rRNA from 1 species
GCCUAUGGCCAUACCACCCUAAAUGAGCCUGAUCUUGUCUGAUCUUGGAAGCUAAGCAGGGUUGGGCCUGGUUAGUACGUGGAUGGGAGAAGUCCUCUGAGAUAAGUC